GCUCCAGGAGUCUCCAGGCGCGCAAACCCUAGGCCCUAGCGAGUAGCGGCGGCGGCGGCGGACCAGCGGUGGCGGUGCCCGGCGGAUGGCGGUAGGCCGCGGCUGGCACUGGCGGGCUAGCCGCUAGGAGGGCGGCGGCCGGCGGGCGGCCUGCGGCAGUGCGGCCGGCGCGCGUUGGCGCCGAGCGGCGAGCGGAGGCGCACGGAGCCGGAGCGGCGGGCCGGCGGCAGGCGGAUCCGCGGCGGCCGGCGAGUGGCGAGCCGGAGGCGGCUGGGGGGUGGACCGGCGGAGGCGCGUGCCUGCCUGCUUGGUCGGUGGCAGGCCCCAGGCGGGCCGCGGGCGGCCUGCGCCCAGCGCGGUGCGCCUCGGCGGCGCCGGCCUGCUCGGCUGCUCGGCGCCUGGCGCGCAGGUGGCGCCUGCAGCCCGCACGGCGCACGGCGCACGCAGGCUGUGAGGCAGGGACCCCGGAGCGGCGGCCGGCCGGCCGGGCCGGCGGCUCCGCGGCGGGCCGGUGGCCGGCGAGCAGGCGGCGGCGCCGCCGUUCGACCCGGCGAGCACGCGGCGACCUACUGGGCGACACGACGAGCACACGGCGACACCGCGACAGUACUAUCGGUCUGCCCCCAAACUGCUGAUUGUUGGUGAAAUUGAGGUUUGAACCAUGAAGAGGAAGGGUAGUGCCGCUACUGAUUUGAGUAAGAUGGAGCAGAAAUAUUUGAAUGGUUGCUUGGUCACAUUGAUUGAAAGGGAAUUCUUCAUGCAAGCUAAAGAUAAAGACAUCAUCGCUCAUUUUCAAAGCAUUGCAGAACGGAAAGUUGUCCUAUAGCUUGUAAGUUGUAAUCUUUGUUACCAUUUUAUUGUUUUAGCCUCUAUUUAUUUCACAUGUUGCCACUUUGAUAUGUUGAUCAUUAGUAGCUGGACAAUUUCAAUUUCUGAUAAUUUUUAUUAAUCAAUGAUGCUGCUACCACUUAAUUAUUAUGUGUUAUAAAACUAUAAUUUAGUCUGUCA